rnacentral:rRNA from 1 species
UACAGAGGUCUCAAGCGUUGUUCGGAUUCAUUGGGCGUAAAGGGUGCGUAGGCGGCGCGGUAAGUCGGGUGUGAAAUCUCGGAGCUUAACUCCGAAACUGCAUUCGAUACUGCCGUGCUUGAGGACUGGAGAGGAGACUGGAAUUUACGGUGUAGCGGUGAAAUGCGUAGAUAUCGUAAGGAAGACCAGUGGCGAAGGCGGGUCUCUGGACAGUUCUGACGCUGAGGCACGAAGGCCAGGGGAGCAAACGGG